UUGGGCCUACGGGGGGCAGCAGUGAGGAAUAUUGGUCAAUGGUCGGGAGACUGAACCAGCCAAGCCGCGUGAGGGAUGAAGGUACAGAGUAUCGUAAACCUCUUUUGUCAGGGAACAAAGGCGGGGACUAGUCCCCGGAUGAGGGUACCUGAAGAAAAAGCAUCGGCUAACUCCGUGCCAGCAGCCGCGGUAAUACGGAGGAUGCGAGCGUUAUCCGGAUUUAUUGGGUUUAAAGGGUGCGCAGGCGGCCUGUUAAGUCAGCGGUAAAAGCCCGGGGCUCAACCCCGGCGAGCUGUUGAAACUGG
rnacentral:rRNA from 1 species